rnacentral:rRNA from 1 species
GACGAACGCUGGCGGCGUGCUUAACACAUGCAAGUCGAACGGAGUGGCGAACGGGUGCGUCACACGUGGGUGACCUGCCCUGCACUUCGGGAUAAGCCUGGGCAACUGGGUCUAAUACCGGAUAGUGGGGGUUGGGCCCGCGGCCUAUCCGCUUGUUGGUGGGGUAAUGGCCUACCAAGGCGGCGACGGGUAGCCGGCCUGAGAGGGUGGACGGCCAAAGUGGGACUGAGACACGGGCCAGACUCCUACGGGAGGCAGCAGGGGGGAAUAUUGCACAAGGGGCGGAAGCAUGAUGCAGCGAGGCCGCGUGGGGGAUGACGGCCUUCGGGGUGUAAACGCCUUUCACCAUCGACGCGGUAGAUGGAGAAGAAGAACCGGCUAACUACGUGCCAGCAGCCGCGGUAAUUC